GCCGAGAUUGCAUAAUCUGGUAUUGCGCUGGUCUCGAAAACCAGUCCCCUUGGGAUUCCAGGUUCAAAUCCUGGUCUCGGCG
rnacentral:tRNA from 1 species